UGGAGAGCUACGACUCCUGGUACUUUAACGCAAGAACUAAAGAGUGCGAAGAGUUUACCUACACCGGCUGUCAUGGGAAUGAUAAUAGAUUUGCUACAAAAGAUGAAUGCGAGAUUCAGUGUUCUGCCAGUGCGGUUACAACUAGAAGGCCUGUCCCAACAACCAGAGCUCCUGUUGUAGACACAACUCUUUCUACUGCAUAUGUCCCAGAUAGCCGGAGGGACUCUGAGUGCCAAACACCAUCAUCUCUUGAAGCGUGCGGUGUAAACGUCACAGCAUUCUACUACGACUCCAGCGAGCAGCGGUGUGUGGAGGGAAUCAUUGGCAACUGUCCCAAUAUUAACGCGUAUAACACCGAAGAGGAGUGUGAGAGACAGUGUGGAGCAUUCAGAGGACUGGAUGUUUGCAGCCAUGAGAUGGAGGCCCAGGCCCCUGCCUCUACAUUAUCCCCAAGUUCUACUGGGAUAUCAUAUCUCGCCGCUGCCUACUUUUCACGUACGGAGGCUAGGACCAAGGUGGACCCAAUCGCUUCUCCACUGAAUCUGAAUGUGAAGAAGUUUGUGGUUUUAAUAAUCCCAGUAAGUUUUUAUUUACAUAAACAAAGUAAUCCUCACUCACUAACUUUCAUUUUUGCGUAACAUAUUUAGAACGA